GUAUAGAACCUACCUUAUAUUGGGGGAUAGCCCAGAGAAAUUUGGAUUAAUACCCCAUAGUAUAUUUAAGUGGCCUCACUAAAAUAUUAAAGAUUUAUCGAUAUAAGAUGGCUAUGCGCCCUAUUAGCUAGUUGGUAUGGUAACGGCAUACCAAGGCGACGAUAGGUAGGGGUCCUGAGAGGGAGAUCCCCCACACUGGUACUGAGAUACGGACCAGACUCCUACGGGAGGCAGCAGUGAGGAAUAUUGGACAAUGGAGGCAACUCUGAUCCAGCCAUGCCGCGUGCAGGAAGACUGCCCUAUGGGUUGUAAACUGCUUUUAUAGAGGAAGAAAUCCCCCGACGUGUCGGUCUGACGGUACUCUACGAAUAAGGAUCGGCUAACUCCGUGCCAGCAGCCGCGGUAAUACGGAGGAUCCAAGCGUUAUCCGGAAUCAUUGGGUUUAAAGGGUCCGUAGCGGGCAAUUAAGUCAGAGGUGAAAGUUUGCGGCUCAACCGUAAAAUUGCCUUUGAUACUGGUUGUCUUGAAUUAUUGUGAAGUGGUUAGAAUGUGUAGUGUAGCGGUGAAAUGCAUAGAUAUUACACAGAAUACCGAUUGCGAAGCAGAUCACUAACAAUUGAUUGACGCUAAGGGACGAAAGCGUAGGUAGCGAACGGGAUUAGAUACCCCGGUAGUCUACGCCGUAAACGAUGGAUACUAGUUGUUUGGUUUUCGGACUGAGUGACUAAGCGAAAGUGAUAAGUAUCCCACCUGGGGAGUACGUUCGCAAGAAUGAAACUCAAAGGAAUUGACGGGGGCCC
rnacentral:rRNA from 1 species